UUUGUUUCUUCAUGUUAAAGUUGUUGAAAGUUCUUCAAGGUUCUUGUCCAGUUUAACCCUUACAUGUCAUCUCUCCUUUCCCCCUCCCCUUCUCUCCUAGUGAGUGUGGUACGUCCCUCCCUGACCGUCCUACUCCCCUCCAGUGAGGAGCAGGACAAGGGGAAUGUUGCCUUAGUGUGCCUGGCCAACAGGGGCUUCCCAGGGGCCUGGAAGCUGGGUUGGAGGCUGGGGGCCGGGGGAGCCUUGCAGGGCAGCCAGAGUCUGGAGGUCCUGGAGAAGGACGGUCACUACAGCUGGAGCAGCAGCCUCACCCUCCCCACUGACCAGUGGAGGAAUGCUGGCUCAGUCACCUGUGAGGCCACCCUAAAGGACCAGACCCCUGUCACUCACACACUGGAGCCACACCACUGCUCCCAGUAGACCCCCUGUACACUGAGAACACCUAUCUGUCUGUCAUUCCAUCAUUCUAAAUAUCUAUCUAUAGCUUCAGCUUUGGUCAUCAAUUUGUGUUUUUGCAUCUUUAAAUCUGUAUGUGUGGUUGUAUUGCUUU